rnacentral:rRNA from 1 species
GAAUCUUGGGCAAUGGGCGCAAGCCUGACCCAGCCAUGCCGCGUGUGUGAAGAAGGCCUUCGGGUUGUAAAGCACUUUCAGUAGCGAAGAAAAGCCGGGAGCUAACAUCCCCCGGUCUUGACGUUAACUACAGACUACGUACCGGCUAACUCCGUGCCCGCAACCGCGGUAAUACGGAGGGUACGAACGUUAAUCGGAUUUACUGGGCGUAAAGCGCGCGUAGGCGGUUUGUUAAGUGGGAUGUGAAAGCCCUGGGCUCAACCCAGGAAUUGCAUUCCAAACUGACGGACUAGAGUAUGGUAGAGGGAGGUAGAAUUUCCUGUGUAGCGGUGAAAUGCGUAGAUAUAGGAAGGAAUACCGAUGGCGAAGGCAGCCUCCCGGACCAAUACUGACGCUGAGGUGCGAAAGCGUGGGGAGCAAACAGG